GGAAGGUGGGGAUGAAGAUGAUGGAGGUUGGGUGACAGGGGAAUUGGAAUUUGGAGUUGGGGCAUAGGGGUAGGGUGAUUGAGAUGUUGGGGAAGGAGUGUUUGGAGGUGACGGAAUGUAGGGAGGUUGGGAAAUGGGAGAAGGAGUGGUGGAUGGUGGUGUGGAAAUGUAAGAAGGUGGCUGGGAUAUUGGGGAAGGAGUGGUGGAUGGUGGUGUGGAAAUGUAAGGUGGCUGGGAUAUUGGGGAAGGAGUGGUGUUUGGAGGUGAUGGGAUGUAAGGAGGCUGAGAUAUUGGGGAAGGAGUGUUUGGAGGUGAUGGGGUGUAAGGAGGCUGGGAAGUAGGAGAAGGAGUAUUGGGUUGUGGAGGCACAUAAGGUGACUGAGAAAAGGGUGAUGGGGUUAUUGGAACAAAGGGUGGUUGAUGAUGAGGGGAAGGGGUGUUUGGAGGUAGAGGAGCAUGGGGUGGAUGGUUAUUAGGGGAAGGAGCAUAAGUGGGAGAAGGUGUGUUGGGAGGUAUGGGAGCAUAGGGUGGUUGAGCUUUGGGAGGAAAGGGAAGAUUAGUAGGAGGUGAAGGUGCUUCUGGAGGAGUAUAAACAGGGGGAGGAGUUUGAUGAGGUGGAUAAGGAGCUUUUGGAGGAGAAUAUGGAGGAGGCUCUCUCACAGCCAACACCACAAUAAUAAGUUUCUGACCCUUCUCACAAUUAUAAUCUUUUCCACUGAUGAAAUAAAAGGGACCCGAACGAUCAAACUGAAACUGGGAGGCACCAUCCUCAAACUUCUUGAUCGGGUUCUUCUUGUUACAUUUCUCAUAAUCCUCUUUGUUCACCACCAAAACCGAGUCCGAUCCCUUCUUGUACUUAAAAACUAUGAACAGGAAAAAACAUACAAGUUAAAAGCAUUCAUUCAGAAGGCAGAAAAAAAACUGGAAAGCUUUAGAAUGAAAAUGAACUGACCAAGAGUGUCACUGACUUGGAACCUCAUCCUUUCAGCCCAGUGAUUGUAAUUCUCAGAAGGGUACAAAAGCCACCCAUCUUUUCCACCAACGUUGAAGGUGUAUGCCUGAGACCCCGAGAGGAGACUGAAAAGAAACGACAAGAGACAAAAAACACUAAUCCGAAGCUCCAUGUUGCAGAGAGAGAGAGGAGAGAGAGAAGGAAGAGAGGUGUAGAAAGAAGUGAUGAAAUGGAUUGAUAUAAAGAAAGUGUUGUCCUUGGUUACCGUUGUUGGGGUGCUUGUAGUGUAGGACCAGCGAAGCGUGUUAAACGCGGUGGGGGGGUUUACGUGGGAAGACUAAGACUUACAUGUGGGCAAAUGAUAGAGAAAGAGAAAUUAAAGUUUGAGAAAGUUUGUUUAAUAUAAUAAUAUAUAAUAUGCAGCUACGUGCCACACUUCCCAGCACUGCCAUCUAUCACCAUUCGGACUCAUUUUAUUUUGAAAUUUCCAACCUCACCGAUGCUAUAUGCUUUCUACACAUUAAAAUGUUUCAAAAACAAUAAUAAUAGAAAGAAAACCAAAUCACGGAACUCUAUUGUUUCUGGUAUAUCCAUAUGCUACACUAUUCCGAUUCUCAUUUCAGACCCAUUAAUAAUUCUGCUAUUCCAUGCUUAGAUUGUUCCAAAUCAUAUACUGUAUCAAACAGAGACAGGGACAAAUUUUAAUAGGUUCUUGCUGAUUAACAAAUAUUAAAUUGUUCUCUAUCUUUUGUUCACAUAUAACCUGUGAAGAAUAAAUAGACGGAUUUUAAUUUUUUUCAUAAAGAUUAAAUAUGAAAAUGGUGUGUGUCUGCUUUGAGAGAGAUUAGCAACUAUUGGAAGAGCAUUUGGAUCGUCAAUCUACAGUUAUGCCUUUGGUCCACAAUGACUAUAAUAAAAUUUGAUUUAUUUAAGAAAGAGUAAACGAUAAUUAAGUUUCCAAAGAAAUUAAAUAUUAUUUUAAUUUCACUGUAUUUUAUUAUUAAGUUUUACAAAAUUAUUUUAUUAAUAAAAAAUAUCUUAAAGACCAAUUCCACAUGAACUUAGAUAUUAUUUUAUCAUAAAACUACAGUUUUCUGGAUCAAUUUGAAAAAGUAAUAAAAAUUUAUACUUUUUCAAUAAUUUUAGGUAUAAGUAUCUUGUCAUAUCAGUUAGAAAUGUUAGAAAUGGUCAUGAAAAAAAUAUUAUUAAAAAAAUAUAAAAUAUUAAGUUGAACGUUUAAAUAUGUUUUUUUUAUGUAUUUUUACUUAAAAAUAGCUUCUUUUUAGUUUAAAUUUUUAGAAUUUUUAGUUAUUUGUAAUAAGGGGACUAGAAUAAGUUUUUAUUAAUAUUUUUUUAUAUAAUAAUAAGUUAGUAUGAAAAUAUUUUAUCAUUCUGAUACAUAUUAAAAAUCUAUUCUGAUACGUAUUAAAAACCGGUUUAUCAUGUAGAAAAAAAUAUGAUAAAAGAUUAAUUUCAAUAGUUUCUUUAUUAUAAUAGUCUAAAAUUUAGAAUAGAAAAUAAAAAUUUCUGUGAAAUAAAAGUACAUUUAAUCCUUAAAUUUAUAAAGUUUUUAAUUAAUAAAAUAUAAUUUUAAAAUUAGUUUUUAUUAUUUAAAAUUAAAGGCAAAAUUAGUCAUUUACUAGUUAAGAAAUAAACCUCUAGUCGUCAUCCUUUGUUUUUUUUUUAGUCAAAACGUAUGCUUUGUUUUGCUUUUUCAUAGACUGUUUGGUACGUGAAAUUGACUACCCAGUUAGGAGUUAAUCAUCACAUCCACUUUACAUCAUGUUUUGCUUUUAUUAACAUUUUUAUUAAGUGAUUAGGUUUUUUCAUUAGAUUAGAUGACAAGUGUAAAGUAUUUAAAAUUUGUAUGAAUAACUAAUUUCUAUCAUUUACCCACUUUUAGAAUUUUAGUAGAAUAUACAAGUAUUACUUAAUAAAAAUAUUUUAUAUUAAAAAAAAUCUAUAGUUUUAAAAAUUGGAUUCCUUUUAUAAGAAAACAUUAAAGCCAAACACACCUUAAUUAUUACAUUUUGUGGAUGAAUGUUGACCUAUUUAAAAUUUGUAUGAAUAACUAAUUUCUAUCAUUUACCCACUUUUAGAAUUUUAGUAGAAUAUACGAGUAUUACUUAAUAAAAUUAUUUUAUAUUAAAAAAAAUUCUACAGUUUUAAAAAUUGGAUUCCUUUUAUAAGAAAACAUUAAAGCCAAACACACCUAAUUAUUUCAUUUUGUGGAUGAAUGUUGACCUAUUUAAAAUUUGUAUUAAUAACUAAUUUCUAUCAUAUACCCACUUUUAGAAUUUUAGUAGAAUAUACGAGUAUUACUUACUUAAACUAUUUUAUAUUAAAAAAAAGUCUAUAGUUUUAAAAAUUGAAUUUCUUUUAUAAGAAAACAUUAAAGCCAAACACACCUUAAUUAUUACAUUGUGUGGAUAAAUGUUGACCUAUUUAAAAUUUGUAUUAAUAACUAAUUUCUAUCAUAUACCCACUUUUAGAAUUUUAGCAGAAUAUGCGAGUAUUACUUAAUUAAAUUAUUUUAUAUUAAAAAAUAGUUAUAGUUUUAAAAAUUGGAUUCCUUUUAUAAGAAAAUAUUAAAGCCAAACUCACCUUAAUUAUUACAUUUUGUGGAUGAUUGUUGACCUAGAGAAAGCCAUUAGAAUCCCAUCUAAUCUUGUACUUGGAAUUUAUUGGUGAAGAGUAGAAAUUUCCGAUAUCUGAAUAACAUUAUUGUUUGGUACAAUAACGUUACCAUAUUUUAAAUUAGUAUAUAUGAUGGGACAUGAACACUUAUUUCCUCUAAAAUCUUUAUUUUAAAAAAUCUCCAAGUAAAUUACUAAAAUGACAUCAUUUUUCAUUGAAACUCAAAUAUGCCUUUCAAAUAUCAUUCACAUUUUGUUCCUAUCUUAAAUAAUCUUUUCCAUUUAUACAAUGUGUGAUAUCACUCACUUAUCUUAUUUAAUUAACAUCUAGGUACUUAAUAGUAUACUACUAAUUAAAACGCGUCACUUUACCGUUAGUAUUUAAUAUUAGGUUAUAGGCAUGCUAAGAAUGAUUAUAAGUGUAUUAUUAAUAUUAACUCUCCCUCCCUAAUAUGGCUGUAUCAUUUCUUCCUCUCAUUGAUUGUUUAUUCAAUAUCAAUCUUGUACUCUCUUUUCUUAUAUUUUUUAGUAAAAAUAAACAUAAAACAUUUAUUUUAAUUGUCACAAAUUUGUGUAUUUUAAAAUGAGUUAUAUAGUAAUGCAUUCACAUUAUACAAUAAUUUUAUUUUAUCAUAUAAUAUUAAAUAAAUAAUAACUCUUAAUAAUUUCUAAAAUAGAUAUUGAUAAUUUCAUUUUAUCAUAAAAUGGUUGUUUAUAGUGAUUUACUAUUCACAGACAACCGAGAAUAUGGGGUAAAAUGGGAGAAUGAAGGGAAGGUCAAGAAAAAUUAGUUAAUGUGAUUUUUUCAAUUUUACCAUUUUUUUAUAUAUUAAUUAUUACAUAAAUUUAAUUAACAUUAAUAUUUUAAUAAAAUAAUAAUAAUUAAUAAAAUUUGAUGGAGGUGUGCCUUCAUCCGUAGCUUUUCUUUGGUGGAAUUGGCGGAAACAUUCAUGGAAGAAGACGAGCAAGGAACUCAUGAAGAGUGGUGGACUCCUUGAAGGUGCAUGCUAGGUGUGGAGAGUG
rnacentral:lncRNA from 1 species